rnacentral:tRNA from 1 species
UCCCGGUGGGUGUGACCGGCAGCAUCGCGGACUUUGGAUCCGCGAGCCCAGGUUCGAAUCCUGGACCGGGAG